rnacentral:rRNA from 1 species
AUUGAACGCUGGCGGCAUGCCUUACACAUGCAAGUCGAACGGUAACAGGUCUUCGGAUGCUGACGAGUGGCGAACGGGUGAGCAAUACAUCGGAACGUGCCCGAUCGUGGGGGAUAACGAAGCGAAAGCUUUGCUAAUACCGCAUACGAUCUACGGAUGCAAGCAGGGGACCGCAAGGCCUUGCGCGAACGGAGCGGCCGAUGGCAGAUUAGGUAGGUGGUGGGCUAAAAGCUUACCAAGCCGACGAUCUGUAGCUGGUCUGAGCGGACGACAGGCCGCAAUGUGACUGAGACACGGCCCAGACUCCGACUGGAGGCAGCAGUGGGGAAUUUUGGACAAUGGUCGAAAGCCUGAUCCAGCCAUGCCGCGGGCAGGAUGAAGGCCUUCGGGUUGUAAACUGCCUAUGUACGGAACGAAAAGACACUGGUUAAUACCUGGGGUCCAUGACGGUACCGUAAGAAUAAGCACCGGCUAACUACGUGCCAGCCGCCGCUGUAAAAC